rnacentral:tRNA from 1 species
UGAGAAAGAAGGCUCAUAGUGAAGCUGCUAACUUUACUGUAAAGGGUUCAAUCCCUUUUUUCUCAU